UUUCCGUAGGUGAACCUGCGGAAGGAUCAUUCAUAAUAAAGUGUUUUAUGGCACUUUUUAAAAUCCAUAUCCACCUUGUGUGCAAUGUUAGAUCUCGUCAAUCUUGGCGAGAUUUUUAUACAUCAACUCAUUUUUUAACUAAUUUGUCUGAAAAAUAUUAUGAAUACUUAAUUCAAAAUACAACUUUCAACAACGGAUCUCUUGGCUCUC
rnacentral:misc_RNA from 1 species